GGAGAAGAUGCUCCAGGGGGCUAGUGCAAAGCACAGAAUUCUGGAAGUCUGGAGACUCUGGUCCUAGUCACAAAUCUUUUACUACUAAUGAGCUGAGCAGGUAAAGAUUUUGAGUUAUCUGGUAAAACCGCAGAAACCUUAGCCAAUGGGGGAAAGUGUCAGACAAACGUCAGUCACAUUUACUAGAGGAAUGAGGACCAGCUGGAUCAGAUAAGGAUACUUACUGUCUUAACGAAGAUAAAAUUUUAUCCUUUUGGGCACACAUUUCACAGAGGUACUCUAAAGAUAUAAUGCCUUAAUCCAAACCAAAAAUACUAAAAUAUGUAAUUUAAAGCCCAUUGGUUUAAGUAAAAUGUGGUUUCCCAGAAGCCUCUGGUUGAAGAGAAGAGUCUUUCUGCCAAGGUAAACAAAAGACAUGUAUACACAGGAGGCAUAACUCCUCUUCAGCUGCGUGAGUUAAAGGGUGGAACUCACCCUCUGCCACACCACAGAUGCUACAUGAUGUUGAACUCGGCUUGAUUACACCUUUAAAAUGUCAGGUGAAGAGGUCAGGAACUGAGGGAUGGAGCAUCCAGUAUGCUACUUAAAGUAUUUCUGCUUAAAAACAACAACAUAAAAGAGUGGAUGGGACUUCCUAGGUGGCGCAGUGGGUAAGAAUCCGCCUGCCAAUGCAGGGGACACGGGUUCGAGCACUGCCCCAGGAAGCUACCGCAUGCCACGGAGCAACUAAGCCUGUGUGCCACAACUGUUGACCUGCGCUAUAGAGACCGUGAGCCACAACUGUUGAGCCCAUUUGCCGCAACUACUGAAGCCCAAGCACCUAGAACCUGUGCUCUGCAACAAGAAAGGCCACUGCAAUGAGAAGCCCACGCACCACAACGAA